AGUGAACGCUGGCGGCGUGCCUAAUACAUGCAAGUCGAACGGAGUGGCGCACGGGUGAGUAAUAUAUAGCUAAUCUGCCCCUUGCUGGAGGACAAAAGUUAGUAAUGACUGCUAAUACUCCAUAUAAAGGGAUGAGACUACAUCGUAUCAGCGAGUCGGUGGGGUAACGGCCUACCGAGGCUAUGACGCGUAACUGGUCUGGGAGGAUGAGCAGUAACAUUGGAACAGGGACACGGUCCGAACUCGUACCCAACGCAGCACUAGGGAAUAUUGCGCAAUGGGGGAUGCCCUCAUGCGGCAUCGGCGCGUGGAGCAUGACACCUGUCGAUGCCUAAGGUACUUUUGUUAGGGAUGCAGUACCUUACGAAUAGGCACCGGGCAGCCCGGUGCAAGCCGCCGCGGUAAUUC
rnacentral:rRNA from 1 species